rnacentral:rRNA from 1 species
UACGAAGGGGGCGAGCGUUGUUCGGAUUUACUGGGCGUAAAGGGCGCGUAGGCGCUUGUCAGUCAGGCGUGAAAGCCCUGGGCUCAACCUGGGAAUUGCGCUUGGGACGGCGGGGCUUGGAGAUCGGGAGAGAAGAGUGGAAUUCCCAGUGUAGAGGUGAAAUUCGUAGAUAUUGGGAAGAACACCGGUGGCGAAGGCGGCGACCUGGUCCGAUACUGACGCUGAGGCGCGAAAGCGUGGGGAGCAAACAGG